rnacentral:rRNA from 1 species
AGCCAAAAACAUAUAACCUCACAAACAUCUACCUACAUAAAAACAAACCAUUUGACUUACCCAGUAGAGGUGAUCGAACAGUUACACACCACUAAAAAGUACCGCAAGGGAACCAUUCAAGCAACAAAUAGCAAAGAUUAAUCCUUGUACCUUUUGCAUCAUGGUUUAGCAAGCAAAUUCAAGGCAAGAUGAAUCAUAGUCUUAAACCCCGAAACCAGAUGAGCUACCUUAAAGCAGCCUAAAGGGCAAACCCUUCUCUGUAGCAAAAGAGUGGGAAGACUCUCAGGUAGAGGCGAAACACCUAUCGAAUCUGGAGAUAGCUGGCUACCUAAAAAGGAAUCUAAGUUCCACUUUAGAUUAAAACUAACACACAUAUUCGUCUAAAGAAAUUCAAUAGGGGUACAGCCCUAUUGAAACAGGAUACAACCUGAAUUUGAGAGAAUACCACUAACAGACCCCCCCGUAGGCUCUAAAGCAGCCACCCAAUAAAAUAUCGUUAAAGAAUUUAUCAAACUAAUUCAAAGGAAACCCUGAAACUCCAAACAUACUAAAGGUAAUCCUACUCCCGUAGGAUAUCUCCUGCUAAAACUAAUAAUAAGACAGCCUCUCUAUACGCACCCAUCCGCUAGAAACAGAAAAUCUACUAGCCAUUAACAGACCCAACCAGGACAUAACGCUAACCCAUACACACCCCCACCCCCACUGUGACCCCAACACAGGUGCGCUAAAAAGAAAGAUCAAACACUAUAAAAGGAACUCGGCAACCAAAGACCCCAACUGUUUAACAAAAACAUAACCUUUAGCCACAAAACCAGUAUUAAAGGCAACGCCUGCCCAGUGAACAAUUAAACGGCCGCGGUACCCUAACCGUGCAAAGGUAGCAUAAUCAUUUGUCUAUUAAUUGUAGACCUGUAUGAAAGGCAAAAUGAGGGCCUAACUGUCUCUUAUAGUAAAUCAAUUAAACUGAUCUUCCAGUUCAAAAGCUGGAAUAUUAACAUAAGACCAGAAGACCCUGUGAAGCUUAAAUCAAACUAUUAAACCCUAUAAUAGCUCCUUUCGGUUGGGGCGACCUUGGAAAAAAAAAGAACUUCCAAACAAAUAUCCUACAGAUAUCCCACCUAGGCCAACAAGCCUGCAAUGACCCAGCAAAGCUGACAAUUGAACUAAGUUACUCCAGGGAUAACAGCGCUAUCUUCUUUAAGAGCCCAUAUCAAAAAGAAGGUUUACGACCUCGAUGUUGGAUCAGGACAUCCUAAUGGUGCAACCGCUAUUAAGGGUUCGUUUGUUCAACGAUUAACAGUCCUACGUGAUCU